CUCAUUUCAGAGGCGGAAAAAGACCAGCACAAAGCAAGUGGGUUAGACACAGAGAGAAGAAGGGAGGCAAAGAUCAAAGAUAGGAUCUUAGAGCAUUCUUCCCUGUUUGUAAAUAAAUUUCAGAGUUUUAUCAUCAAGAACGCUCUGGGAUUGUCUAUGGAAACUUGAGAUGCUCAACUAGAGAGAAACAUUGCACAGAACUUCUCGGGGCAAUCCAACUAAGUCUUAUGACUUCGUGUCGCUGCUUGGUGUUGGCCUUGGGACUGGACUGCUGGUAUCCUGAAAACUGAGUUUGUUAAUUCCCUAAAGACCCAUCAACCCUAAU